rnacentral:lncRNA from 1 species
UAAAAAUAUAUCCUUUCUUUUUCAGUGCCUGAACAGUGAGAGCUUCCACAAGGACUGCCUCUUCAAGCCGCAUCGUCAGUACCUGAACCAACAUCAGGGCUUUUUCAGGGGGUUUUGGGAAAAAGGCCCCUGGUCAUAUUGGGAAUUUUUAAUGCGACAAACCACUGCUGUAUGAAGGAUGGCAGUCGGCCUUGACAGCUGUGGAGUGAAUCAUGUUUGGGUAUCCAAAAGAUAAAAGGAAGAAGUGCUAACUUAAAGACCAGUAUGUGGGCAACCAAUGUCAGAAAUGAACAUGGACAAGUUAUCAUGACUGUCAUGACUACAAGCGAAGGCUAUGGUCUGUCUAACAUGAUACAAGACCUGUGUGCACGCUACCAGAAUGCCUUAGGGCCAUCUCCUCGGAUCCUGUAUUUUGAUAGGGACUGCUGUGGUGCUGCAUAUAUUGGAAAAUACUUUAAAACCUGGCCAUGCAUUAUAGUGAGAUAAACUGGAUAUCUGGCAUUUCAUGCAGAGAUUGUCUGUCGGAUGCACAACUGAUGCCGAUCUAUUGUACUGGACCUUCAUGGGUUGUCAGCCACUGUAUCUUCAAGUGGGAGGAUGAAGCCAUCAAGACACUCCCAGUCCUUUUGACAACUGGCAGGCUCGACAUGUUGCCCUUUGGCAUCUAGUGCUAGUUUUAUAAUAUUUAGCUUAUAAGACUGGAAUUUUGACCAAAUUCAAAGAAUUUUGACUCUAAGGUGAAAAAGUGGACUAACUGCAUAAUAAGAUAUCUAUACCUUUGCACAGGCUAUAAAGAAGUUCAUCUGUUUUCAUGGGUAGUUCCGAGUAUGUUAUUUGAGUGAGGAUAAGUUACAUAUUAUUGUACAUUACAUUUUCAUCUGUCUGUGAUAUUUACAUAUUUUCAUGAAAUUUCCUUAAAACCAUGUGUAUUUACAAUAUAAAUAUUUCUUGCAUGA